UGUAAAUACAGAUACGUGUUCUUUAAAAACAACACUACCAAAUGGAACAGUAAAGUGCGGAUGCUUAGAAAGAAACACGGUAUUGUGCACCAUUUACGGCAGCACAUAUGUUAAUGACGGUGACCAGUGGAAAUGUGAUGCGUUCAAACACACUUUACUUGUAAGCAGCAAUAUUGUCAUCGUUUCGCUUGAAAACACCAGUCCCAAGCCUUCCACAGUAGACCAAAUCUCGGCAGUAGUAACUACGUCUGAAACGAACGAAGAAUUUAGCGUGGGAAAUGAAACACUGAUAACAACUUAUUCAUUUGAAGAAACGGCAGUUUCAGUAAAUGCGACUAUCCCGAAUGAUGACCUGUUAAAGAACUCAACUUCA